UACGGGGGGGGUAAGCGUUGUUCGGAAUUACUGGGCGUAAAGGGCUCGUAGGCGGCCUGCUAAGUCGGAUGUGAAAUCCCUCGGCUCAACCGAGGAACUGCAUCCGAUACUGGCGGGCUUGAAGUCGGGAGAGGGAUGUGGAAUUCCAGGUGUAGCGGUGAAAUGCGUAGAUAUCUGGAGGAACACCGGUGGCGAAGGCGGCAUCCUGGACCGGCAUUGACGCUGAGGCGCGAAAGCUAGGGGAGCAAACGGG
rnacentral:rRNA from 1 species